AGUGAACGCUGGCGGUAGGCCUAACACAUGCAAGUCGAACGGCAGCACAGUAAGAGCUUGCUCUUACGGGUGGCGAGUGGCGGACGGGUGAGGAAUACAUCGGAAUCUACUUUUUCGUGGGGGAUAACGUAGGGAAACUUACGCUAAUACCGCAUACGACCUACGGGUGAAAGCAGGGGAUCUUCGGACCUUGCGCGAUUGAAUGAGCUGAUGUCGGAUUAGCUAGUUGGCGGGGUAAAGGCCCACCAAGGCGACGAUCCGUAGCUGGUCUGAGAGGAUGAUCAGCCACACUGGAACUGAGACACGGUCCAGACUCCUACGGGAGGCAGCAGUGGGGAAUAUUGGACAAUGGGCGAAAGCCUGAUCCAGCCAUACCGCGUGGGUGAAGAAGGCCUUCGGGUUGUAAAGCCCUUUUGUUGGGAAAGAAAAGCAGCAGGUUAAUCCCCCGCUGUUCUGACGGUACCCAAAGAAUAAGCACCGGCUAACUUCGUG
rnacentral:rRNA from 1 species